AUGCCCUCCUUUAAGGACUGGCUUUGUAAGGGUGAUGCGUUCACGGUUAUUAUUGCCAAAGCGAUGUUUCCAGUGAACUGCAUAGCUCCAAUCCAGAUAGGACUGAGAGGCGAUCUCAUCAAUAUGUACAAGAAUCUGAAGGGAAGGUGUCAAGAGGACGGGGCCAGACUCUUCUCCAUGGUGCCCAGUGACAGGACAAGAGGCAACGGGCAGAAACUGAAACACCAGAAGUUCUGUCUGAACAUGAGGAAACACUUCUUCACUGUGAGGGUGACAGAGCACUGGCACAGGUUGCCCAGAGAGGUAGUGGAGUCUCCUUCCCUGGAGAUGUUCAAAAGCUGUCUAGACACAAUCCUGGGCAAUGUGCUCUAGAGGACUCUGCUUGAGCCGGGGGGUUGGACUAGAUGAUCUCCAGAGGUCCCUUACAACCCCAACCAUUCUGUGAUUCUGUGAUCUCAGCUGAGCACUUUGGCUAGCAUUCAUGAAGCACAUGGGUCUGUAGCGUCCCGUGCCAAAGGGCUGCUGCGCCAUGGUAGCUGUCACCGAUUCUGGUGUCUCCCCGUCCAGGGAGAGCACCCAGUGUCUUCUGUUUCCGUCUGGGCUCAUCUAAAGCUCUUGUCUUUGGAGCAGGCAGAAGUGUCUUUCUGCAUGACAGCGCUGAGAUUCGUUAGGGUGAAGGAUGUGGAGGAAAGCAGCAGAAGGUUCUUGCAGCCAGCAGGCAGUGUCUGCCUAAAUUUGUAUUUUAUAGUGGACAUAAAUCUCCAUGUUUUAUGCUUUGUCCAAAACAGACUCAUAACUCUUCAUUUUUUUAAAACUUUUUUUAUUCAAAAGACUUUCUGGAGACUACUUUUACUGCAGGUCCUAACUUAGCCAAGCUAGGGAGAAAGCUGAUAGCAGUAGUCACAGUGGAUUAAUGCUUUUUUUGUUUCCUUAUCGGAGGCUAGGCACAGCAGCAAGAACCAUGCUAGCGACAAGCACAACUAGCAGCACCUCAAGUUUAGAGAUAGCUGUGCUGGUUGUGGUAGCUUUGGGAUUUACAGUCAGUUUGCUGUUAUUGGUCUUCUAGGACAGAGAUGUGUCAAAUAUCCCCAACUGCCUUUGCCCGUUUCACCUUUUACUCUUCAGUGUUGCAGAACAGAAGGAGAAAAUCUCUAUUACCUGUUAAUCUGAUCCUCUGAUAACCUCCAGGCAGUGUAAGAACUGUUGAGUUUCUUGAGCUAAUUGCAGAGAUAGUUUGAAUACUUCUUCCAUCAGAACUAAAUAGUUUUCUUCUUUCUAUCUUGG
rnacentral:lncRNA from 1 species